rnacentral:rRNA from 1 species
AUGGUUCUCAAAGGUUUGAUGGCGAUGACAUGGCGCAGUCGAGCAAGUUUUGGUCAAUGUUUCAUGGUUCAAUCAACGAAUGGUGUUAAAACUGAAAAUCAUGAAAGCAAGAUUUUGAGUGAUUCCUACCUCGAGCUUCUGCUUCAGUUGUUUCUUGGUUGUUCAAGUAUGCUUGGUGGUUCUCCAUCGAGGGUUGAGAUGGACCAUGCACUGGUUACAUCUUCUCCUAUCUCCAUGUUCUUCUUAAUUUUCUUUUGCAAUGAGAGCUGGAUUUAG